rnacentral:rRNA from 1 species
CUGUACAGUUCAGAGUUUGAUCCUGGCUCAGGAUGAACGCUGGCGGCGUGCCAAUACAUGCAAGUCGAGCGGAAAGGCCUCUUCGGAGGUACUCGAGCGGCGGACGGCUGAGUAACACGUAGGAACGUACCCCAAAGUGAGGAAUAACUGCCCGAAAGGGUAGCUAAUGCCGCAUGUGCUCUAAGGAGUAAAGCUUUAUGCGCUUUGGGAACGGCCUGCGUCCGAUUAGCUAGUUGGUGAGGUAAUUGCUCACCAAGGCGACGAUCGGUAGCUGGUCUGAGAGGAUGACCAGCCAGACUGGAACUGAGAACGGCCCAG